AAAUCAAUCUGAUGAAAGUUGUUGGUUUUUUGCUCUCGGGGAGAGGUGAUGCAUUGGGUUGUUAAACAGUGCUAGGUUUUACAGUUCGCUGUGCUGUAUAGAGUAGCUUCAAUAUGAGGACAUUUCUGAAAGCGCUAUAUUUACUUCUUUAUUAUAUUUACCAGCAGAAAUGCACAAUUCAGUGCGUGCCUGUGCAGUGUGGCAGACACAAUAUAUGUCGAAUAUAUUUUUCUCAUAACCAGGCGUAAGAAAGGCUUAUCUCAGUGGUUAGGGUGUGUUCAAUUCCUGGUACUGUAUUGAGCUUUAUUGAUUGAUUGAUUCUGAGCCCCUCGUGGCCAGCCAAGCAAACACCAGCUGCAAGUGAAUCGGUGCAUUUUGAGCUGACACGCCCACACAGCCACCGAUAGCAUAACCGCCGUCCUACACACUCACAAGCUGAGCGCCUCUCAACUCAAAAAACUGACGGACCGUCCCCGCUCCACACUCCCAGGCCAGAUAUGCAAUUUAUCAGCUGGAAAACAUGCAGGAGGGCUAAAGGUGGAAGAGCCUUCUAUCUGGUCUCGCUACACCAGCCACUGCUCAGUAUGCUCUACCUGGGCUCAUUUCACCCUCCAGCGGACAGGAGAGUCUAUAUGGGCCCCUCGGUAAAAGACCUGAGGCGCUCCCGCCCUGACUCACGGCACCUCCGCUCCCCUCAGCCCCUGCAGAGGAGAUCAGACGCCGACAGGACAGGGAGUUAUGACGCUCCUUGCUUAAGAUAUUAAGAUCCACGUGAGGACUCAGUAGAUGUGUUUUUACCAGAGCUUGGCCUUGUCCUCAGCUGCUACAGCCUACAUCUCCAGGAGUCACAAAUUGUGUGCUGUGAAACACUAAUACAUAACAUGAUUUCUUUUCUCCCUUGUGGCCUCUCAGAGCUAUGCUUCAGGAUGCUAAGGUUACCAAACCAUGGAAGUUAAAAGUAACUCAGUAUUUCUUGGUGUAAAAAACACUGUGGCUGUUAUCCCAGUGAUGAAUGUGUUUUUUGGCAUAUAGAGCUGGGAAGUGAGAUCUGAACACAAGUGGACAUCCAAGAUGCCAUGUGUGAAAUGACGUACUUUGCUGUCCACUUGUGAAGUGAAUACUCAGGACAGAUGUUGAAACCCAGCUCUGAACAGCUUCUAAUGACCAAAUAAUUUCAAAACAAACAACAUUACCAUCAGUCAACAAAAUUCCUUUGUGUUAAGUGCUAACUAUUGGAUGUAAGCAUGCCAACGAGCUAAACUAAGAUGGUGAACAUAGUAAAUGCUACAUCUGCUAUUUUCUUGUUUUGUUUCACCGGUUGUCUGCUUGCUUUAAAUAAAUCAGAGAAAGUUCUUUU